GACGAACGCUGGCGGCGUGCUUAACACAUGCAAGUCGAACGGAAAGGCCCUGCUUUUGUGGGGUGCUCGAGUGGCGAACGGGUGAGUAACACGUGAGUAACCUGCCCUUGACUUUGGGAUAACUUCAGGAAACUGGGGCUAAUACCGGAUAGGAGCUCCUGCUGCAUGGUGGGGGUUGGAAAGUUUCGGCGGUUGGGGAUGGACUCGCGGCUUAUCAGCUUGUUGGUGGGGUAGUGGCUUAACGAGGCUUUGACGGGUAGCCGGCCUGAGAGGGUGACCGGCCACAUUGGGACUGAGAUACGGCCCAGACUCCUACGGGAGGCAGCAGUGGGGAAUAUUGCACAAUGGGCGGAAGCCUGAUGCAGCAACGCCGCGUGCGGGGUGACGGCCUUCGGGUUGUAAACCGCUUUCGCCUGUGACGAAGCGUGAGUGACGGUAAUGGGUAAAGAAGCACCGGCUAACUACGUG
rnacentral:rRNA from 1 species